UUGCUCUCCUGGGCCCCGGCUGAGGGAAGAAGGGCGGCUGCUGCCUGCCUUCCUGCCUGCCCUGGCCCUGGCCCUGGCCCUGGCUGGGGAGGAGGAGCCAUUGCCUGCCAGGCAACUCCCUUCAGGCCCAGAGGCUUAAAGGAUCUUGGAACCAAACCCCAGUGGAUAACAAGGCUCCGCUGUAUCUCUCCAUGCUAGCCAGGUGUUCCCAGCAGUGAUGAAAAACCUCUCUUUAUCAUGGCGCAUGAUUUCCUUCACCUACUUGUCUUGCAUUUAGCAUUCCUUGCAGUUUGGUUAACAGAAGGGAAAUAUGGGCUUAAUACAUAUGAUUGCUGUGGUUUAUAUCUGUGGUGUAU